rnacentral:misc_RNA from 1 species
UCUCCGUAGGUGAACCUGCGGAGGGAUCAUUACUGAGUGAGGGCUCCGGCCCGACCUCCAACCCCAUGUGAACUUACCAUUGUUGCCUCGGCAGAAGCUGCUCGGUGCACCCUACCUUGGAACGGCCUACCCUGUAGCGCCUUACCCUGGAACGGCUUACCCUGUAACGGCUGCCGGUGGACUACCAAACUCUUGUUAUUUUAUUGUAAUCUGAGCGUCUUAUUUUAAUAAGUCAAAACUCUCAACAACGGAUCUCUUGGUUCUGGCAUCGAUGAAGAACGCAGU